rnacentral:rRNA from 1 species
CCCUUAGAUGUUCUGGGCCGCACGCGCGCUACACUGUUCGACGCAGCGAGUCUUAACCUUGACCGAAAGGUUUGGGUAAUCUUCAGCAAAGUCGAACGUGAUGGGGAUCGAUCAUUGCAAUUAUUGAUCGUGAACGAGGAAUUCCUAGUAAGUGCAAGUCAUCAGCCUGCGCUGAUUACGUCCCUGCCCUUUGUACACACCGCCCGUCGCUACUACCGAUUGAAUGGUUUAGUGAGAUCUCUGGAUUGACGCUGGCUAGGGGGCGACCCUUGGCCAGACUGCUCGAGAAACUGCUCAAACUUGAUCAUUUAGAGGAAGUAAAAGUCGUAACA